CUCCUCCUCCUCCUCCUCGCCUGCGGUAACUUCAAAGUCGCAUUAUUUUAUCUUAUCCUCUUCCUGCUGUUCUUCCUCUGACGUAUUUCAGAGGCAUGACGCAGGUGCACACACACACACACACACACACACACACACACACACACACACACACACACACACACACACACACGCACACGUAUUCAGAAUGUCAAGUCAAUAUGUCGCAGGUGAAAAUAGAUAAGAGAUGAAUAGAUAGAUAGAUUUGCAUGAUUGACAGACAGGUGCGUGUAGAUUAGUUAACUGAAGGACAGGUAUGAGGAGGGGUAAGGUGUGUGGUCAGACAGGUGUUCAGCGUGUUAAGUAGACAGGUAGAUAGAUAAACAGGUAAUGAUUCUUAGUAGGUACAUUAUAGACAGGUGGACAGGUAUAAGAAUUGGUUGUUGAGGUUAGGAACAGGUUAGGAGACAUUACGAAAGACAGGUGUAAGAGAGAAAGGUAAAUCUAUAGGUAGGUUAGAAUAGGUCACGAAACGGAAGUGAUUAGAGAAAAUAAAUGGGUUAGGAAGCAAUAUGAUAAAAAAGUGUAAAAUUGCAAGGUAAAUCCAUAGGUAGGGUGGGUAGAUAGGUAAGCCUUAAGGUAAUCCAGCUCUAGUAUAGGCAGGUAAAUGGGUGAGGAGGUGGUUUAGGUUAGGUUAAGUUAGGUCAGGUGUUAGAUAGAAAGGCAAAUUCAUAGGUAGGUAAGGUACGUAGGUAGGUAAGCUUUAAGGUAAUCCAGCUCUAGAAUAGGCAGGUAAAUGGGUGAGGAGGUUAGUUAGGUUAAUUUAAGUUAGGUCAGGUGUUAGAUAGAAAGGUAAAUCCAUAGGUAGGUUAGGUAAGUAGGUAGGUAAGCUUUAAGGUAAUCCAGCUCUAGAAUUGGCAGGUAAAUCUGUGAGGAGGUGGGCUAGAUUAGGUUAAGUUAGGUCAGGUGUUAGAUAGUAGAGUAGGUAAGGUUUAAUGUUAGGUAGUGCUAGAUUUGAGAGGAAAAAGUGUUGUCAGGUGGGUUGGGUUAUGUUAAUUUGGACAUGUUAGUUGACAGGUUAGGAAGCAUUACGAAAAACAGGUUAAAAACAGAAGGGUAAAUCUAGAGGUAGGUUAGGUAAGGUUAGGGCUAGGCAGUGCUAGAGUUAACAGGUAAGUGAGUGUGGAGGUUAGUUAGGUUAGGUUAAGUUAGGUCAUGUGUUAGAUGGAAAGGUAAAGUCAUAGGUAGGUUAGGUAUGGUCGGGUAGGUAAGGUUUAAUGUUAGAUAGUGCUAGAACAGACAGGAAGAAGGGUUGCCAGGUGGGUUAGGUUAGGUUAAGUUAGGUCAGGUGUUAGAUAGAAAGAUAAAUUCAAAGGUAGGUUAGGUAUAGUCGGAUAGGUAAGGUUUAAUGUUAGAUAGUGCUAGAAUAGACUGGAAAAAGUUUUGCCAGGUGGGCUGGGUUAGGUUGAUAUAGACAUGUUAGUUGAUAGGUUAGGAAGUAUUAGGAAAAACAGGUUAAAAACAGAAAGGUAAAUCCAGGGGUAGGUUAGGUAAGGCUGGGCAGCGCGAGAGUAAACAGGUAAACGAGUGAGCAGGUUUUUUAAUAGGUGAAGGGAGGGUUAGGGUUGUCAGGGGAGGCGCAGGUUAUGGCAGGUGAAUAAACUAAACAUGAAGCUGGGAAAGGUUGAUAAAGGUAAAUAUGGCGACAGGUGAGUGAGUGGCUGUAAUUAAAUUUGUAGGCAGGUGUGCUGGUGACAUGGAGCAAAUAGGCUGAUAGGUGUUUGGGACUGACGAGGUCAUUUUGUAGGUUGUUUUACAGGUGAGACAGGUGAAAGGUACUAUAGGGU